AGCAGAAAAAUUCCAGAAAGAACAUCAGUGGCAGGAUGAAUUUGCGACGAAUGAUAUUGUCUACUACAAUGCAAAAGAAGACCUGAAUGAUUCUGGAAGAAGCGAGAACGAAACAGGGAGUCAGAGAA